GACGGUGGAUGCAAGCGUUAUCCGGAAUCACUGGGCGUAAAGCGUCUGUAGGUGGUGAUGCAAGUCACUGGUGCAAAACUCUGGCUCAACCGGAGGAAAGCCAGUGAAACUGCAUGACUAGAGUGUGGGAGAGGUAGAAGGAAUUCCCUGAGAAGCGGUGAAAUGCGUAGAUACAGGGAAGAACACCGGAGGCGAAAGCGUUCUACUGGAACACAACUGACACUCAGAGACGAAAGCUAGGGGAGCGAAUGGG
rnacentral:rRNA from 1 species